GAUGAACGCUGGCGGCGUGCCUAAUACAUGCAAGUCGAGCGAACAGACGAGGAGCUUGCUCCUCUGACGUUAGCGGCGGACGGGUGAGUAACACGUGGAUAACCUACCUAUAAGACUGGGAUAACUUCGGGAAACCGGAGCUAAUACCGGAUAAUAUAUUGAACCGCAUGGUUCAAUAGUGAAAGACGGUUUUGCUGUCACUUAUAGAUGGAUCCGCGCCGCAUUAGCUAGUUGGUAAGGUAACGGCUUACCAAGGCAACGAUGCGUAGCCGACCUGAGAGGGUGAUCGGCCACACUGGAACUGAGACACGGUCCAGACUCCUACGGGAGGCAGCAGUAGGGAAUCUUCCGCAAUGGGCGAAAGCCUGACGGAGCAACGCCGCGGGAGUGAUGAAGGUCUUCGGAUCGUAAAACUCUGUUAUUAGGGAAGAACAAAUGUGUAAGUAACUAUGCACGUCUUGACGGUACCGAAUCAGAAAGCCACGGCUAACUACGU
rnacentral:rRNA from 1 species